rnacentral:rRNA from 1 species
CGUAGGGUGCGAGCGUUAAUCGGAAUUACUGGGCGUAAAGCGUGCGCAGGCGGUUUUGUAAGACAGGCGUGAAAUCCCCGGGCUCAACCUGGGAACUGCGCUCGUGACUGCAAGGCUAGAGUACGGCAGAGGGGGGUGGAAUUCCACGUGUAGCAGUGAAAUGCGUAGAGAUGUGGAGGAACACCAAUGGCGAAGGCAGCCCCCUGGGUCGAUACUGACGCUCAUGCACGAAAGCGUGGGUAGCAAACAGGAUUAGAUACCCUGGUAGUCCACGCCCUAAACGAUGUCAACUAGGUGUUGGGUGGGUAAAACCAUUUAGUACCGGAGCUAACGCGUGAAGUUGACCGCCUGGGGAGUACGGCCGCAAGGUUA